rnacentral:rRNA from 1 species
UGGCGGACGGGUGAGUAAUGUCUGGGAAACUGCCCGAUGGAGGGGGAUAACUACUGGAAACGGUAGCUAAUACCGCAUAACGUCGCAAGACCAAAGAGGGGGACCUUCGGGCCUCUUGCCAUCGGAUGUGCCCAGAUGGGAUUAGCUGUAGGUGGGGUAACGGCUCACCUAGGCGACGAUCCCUAGCUGGUCUGAGAGGAUGACCAGCCACACUGGAACUGAGACACGGUCCAG